GUAUUUUCUGGGCAGAGAAUAACUUGAAACUUAGCUGUUUCACUGAAAAUAGCACUAUGCUUUCUUAGUAGAACUCUGAAUUGCCGUGAUCAUCUUUUCACUUACCUGGUGAGGUGGGGGGGCAAGCCCCGAAGGGGGCUCUCACUUCUGGUGCCAAGCGCCCAACCCACUCCAGGGACAGCGGCAGGUGGGGAGUUUGACUGGGGUGGUACACCUGUCAAAGCGUAACGCAGGUGUCCUAAGGCGAGCUCAGGGAGGACAGAAACCUCCCAUGGAGCAGAAGGGCAAAAGCUAGCUUGAUCCUGAUUUUCAGUAUGAACAUAGACUGUGAAAGCGGGGCCUCAUGAUUCUUCUGGCUUUUUGGGUUUUAAGCAGGAGGUGUCAGAAAAGUUACCACAGGGGUAACUGGCUUGUGGCGGCCAAGCAUUCAUAGCGACGUCACUUUUUGAUCCUUCGAUAUCGGCUCUUCCUAUCAUUGUGAAGCAGAAUUCACCAAGUGUUGGAUUGUUCACUCACUAAUAGGGAAUGUGGGCUGGGUUUAGAUCAUCGUGAGACAGGUUAGUUUUACCCUACUGAUGAUGUAUUGUUGCAAUAGUAAUCCUGCUCAGUACGAGAGGAACUGCACGUUCCGGUGCGGAGCGCUGCGCGUGGUCGGGACUGGAGGGGUGGACAGAAGUGGCGCUGCCUCUCCCCAGUCGCGUACCACACGAUUGUGGGGCACCCAGCGCUAAAUCAUUCGUAGAUGACCUGAUUCUGGGUCAGGGUUUUGUACAUAGCAGAGCAGCUCCCUCACUGCGAUCUAUUGAGAAUCAGCCCUCGACACAAGCUUUU
rfam:Chlamydotis undulata macqueenii contig87095, whole genome shotgun sequence.